CCUACGGGAGGCUGUAGUGGGGAAUAUUGCACAAUGGGGGAAACCCUGAUGCAGCGACGCCGCGUGAGUGAGGAAGUAUUUCGGUAUGUAAAGCUCUAUCAGCAGGGAAGAAAAUGACGGUACUUGACUAAGAAGCCCCGGCUAACUACGUGCCAGCAGCCGCGGUAAUACGUAGGGGGCAAGCGUUAUCCGGAUUUACUGGGUGUAAAGGGGGCGUAGACGGUUAAUCAAGUCAGAAGUGAAAACCCAGGGCUCAACCUUGGGACUGCUUUUGAAACUGAGUAGCUAGAGUGCAGGAGAGGUAAGCGGAAUUCCUAGUGUAGCGGUGAAAUGCGUAGAUAUUAGGAGGAACACCAGUGGCGAAGGCGGCGUACUGGACUGUAACUGACGUUGAGGCUCGAAAGCGUGGGGAGCAAACAGGAUUAGAUACCCGGGUAGUC
rnacentral:rRNA from 1 species